ensembl:lncRNA novel transcript, antisense to ZNF184
ACCAUGGAGUCUGAUGCUGUUAAAGAACAGUGCAUGGAAGUGGCAGAUCUCCAACCCUGGUUGGAGUUCCACUCAAAGGCAACAUGAAACAGGCCAUGGCCAAUGUUAUCUAUAUUGUCAUGUCCUCUACUCAAUAACCAACAGAAUUACUAGAAUAUAAGGGGCAGGGCAAAAAAUGAAGGGAUGGAGAAAGUUCCCAAAGACCAGAUUGAAAAAUACCAUCCCUAUUGCAGAAGCAAUUCUCCCUUUACUACAAACAAAGUCUACAGACAUUGACUAUACUAUUCUGAUGUCCCAUGUGUGGAGAAGUAAUCGAGGGUGUUGACAACCAGGGGACAAGAAAACAAGAUAGACCAGUGAGACAGAUACAUAUCAGGGUUAUAGAUCAUGAUCCUGAGGGUCAAGAUCAUCAAGACAGCUCCGAGAAGAUGGCAAUAAAGAGGAUGAGGGAAAUUAGGUAGACUAGGCCCAGGGCUAGUGGCCAAACUCAACAUAGGUACUGUCACAAUAUCACUAGCUGUAAAGAUAUCUACAAAACUAUACGACAUUUUUAUAAAGACAAAAGCAGCCAACUCACCAGCUAAGAAUAAAUCUAUUCUAGAUGCUGAUAAAGAUAGACUUGAGGGCUGAUUUACCAAGACUAUCAUCAUCAGGUCAAAUUCCAGCAAUAAAAAGUAACCAAAAGAAUGGAGCUAAAUAUCUCAAGUGCUUGCCUUCUGUUCACUGACCAGGAAAUACUUUAAAGGGAAGAAAGUACAUCUACACUUCAGACAUAAAAUCCUCUCUUAUCAGGCUGACAGUCGGAGUUAAUGAUAUUCAUCUGCUGGCAUCCAUGACUUACCUGCACAGGUACCUACUGGAAUGCUUGGCUCCAUGAUCCAUGGCUCUGUCCCUUGCUCUAACUGGGAAAUCACAUCAGGUUUAGAAACUUGGAGUCCUGUUCAUUAGGGAAAAAAAGAAAGAAACCUGCAGUAAGGGGAAAGUACCAUAUCAGAAUUCAAUCACCACUUUGUCUUUAGAAGAAAUGAUAUGUAGUAAAAACCUGAUGGGAGUGGAUAGCAUAUCAAGCUUUAGUGUUACCAGUUCCCAGACAUGGUGGGAGUAUAAUUUGGGAACUGAUCGGGGUUCAGGAAAAUUAUUAUUUUGUCCCUCUGCUUGCUAGGAUGGUAGAAACCUUUUCAAAAACUAGAAAUUUAGAAAUGGUUGGUUACUAAACUUAAAGGCAAACUCCCCUGAGCACAAGAGAGAACCCUCCUCCUGCACACCCCUUGAUAUUAACUCAGAGAAAUUAUCCUUACCUAUAGAGACCAGGUGUGUAUAAUUUUCCAAUGUCACAUCCCUGAACAAAUCUCUCUGGCCAGGGUCCAGCUGUUUCCAUUCUUCCUGGGUAAAGUCCACUAUCACAUCCUUGAAAGUCACCGCUUCCUGAAAUACCAAACAUAUUUCUGCUUAGCCAUAAGCAUUUACUUAGGAAAGGGGUAAAGUUAGCAAUACUGACAGAAGUAAGGCAGUCUAUAGGAUGUCUGCAAAAUAAUCUUGACAUUUUCUCCUUUAUGAAAUAAAUGUAAAAACAGUGCCUCAUCCAUUGGGU